GUAGGGAAUCUUCCACAAUGGGCGCAAGCCUGAUGGAGCAACACCGCGUGAGUGAAGAAGGGUUUCGGCUCGUAAAGCUCUGUUGUUAAGGAAGAACACGUAUGAGAGUAACUGUUCAUACGUUGACGGUAUUUAACCAGAAAGUCACGGCUAACUACGCGCCAG
rnacentral:rRNA from 1 species